rnacentral:rRNA from 1 species
AUUGAACGCCGGCGGCAUGCUUUACACAUGCAAGUCGGACGGCAGCACAGAGAAGCUUGCUUCUUGGGUGGCGAGUGGCGAACGGGUGAGUAACAUAUCGGAACGUACCGAGCAGUGGGGGAUAACUAAUCGAAAGAUUAGCUAAUACCGCAUAUAUUCUGAGGAAGAAAGCAGGGGACCAUUUAGCCUUGCGCUGUUUGAGCGGCCGAUAUCUGAUUAGCUAGUUGGUGGGGUAAAGGCCUACCAAGGCGACGAUCAGUAGCGGGUCUGAGAGGAUGAUCCGCCACACUGGGACUGAGACACGGCCCAGACUCCUACGGGAGGCAGCAGUGGGGAAUUUUGGACAAUGGGCGCAAGCCUGAUCCAGCCAUGCCGCGUGUCUGAAGAAGGCCUUCGGGUUGUAAAGGACUUUUGUCAGGGAAGAAAAGGGCGGGGUUAAUACCCCUGUCUGA